AUAGUAUUAGUUUAAUAAAAAUAAGGGCUUGUCGUGCCUUAGUUGCUCUUUAGCAUACUAUU
rnacentral:tRNA from 1 species